GAUGAACGCUGGCGGCGUGCCUAACACAUGCAAGUCGAACGGAGAUUACGGACGGAAGUUUUCGGAUGGAAGCCUGUAAUUCUUAGUGGCGGACGGGUGAGUAACGCGUGGGCAACCUGCCCUAUACAGGGGGAUAGCAGCUGGAAACGGCUGGUAAGACCGCAUAAGUCGGUUAAAUCGCAUGAUUUGAUCGGGAAAUGAGCAAUCAGGGAUAGGAUGGGCCCGCGUCCGAUUAGCCAGUAGGCAGGGUAAAAGCCUACCAAAGCGACGAUCGGUAGCCGGACUGAGAGGUCGGACGGCCACAUUGGGACUGAGCCACGGCCCAGACUCCUACGGGAGGCAGCAGUGGGGGAUAUUGCACCAUGGCGGAAACUCUGAUGCAGCGACGCCGCGUGAGUGAAGAAGUAUUUCGGUAUGUAAAGCUCUAUCAGCAGGGAAGAUGAUGACGGUACCUGACUAAGAAGCCCCGGCUAACUACGUG
rnacentral:rRNA from 1 species